rnacentral:rRNA from 2 species
UGAGGAAUAUUGGUCAAUGGGCGCAAGCCUGAACCAGCCAUGUCGCGUGCAGGAAGACGGCCCUAUGGGUUGUAAACUGCUUUUGUAUGGGAAGAAAUUGUCCGACGUGUCGGGCAUUGCCGGUACCAUACGAAUAAGGAUCGGCUAACUCCGUGCCAGCAGCCGCGGUAAUACGGAGGAUCCGAGCGUUAUCCGGAUUUAUUGGGUUUAAAGGGUGCGUAGGCGGAAUGGUAAGUCAGAGGUGAAAUCCUGCAGCUCAACUGUAGAAUAGCCUUUGAAACUGUCAUUCUUGAGUACAUUUGAGGUAGGCGGAAUGUGGUGUGUAGCGGUGAAAUGCAUAGAUAUACCACAGAACACCGAUUGCGAAGGCAGCUUACUAAACUGUAACUGACGCUGAGGCACGAAAGCGUGGGUAUCAAACAGG